ACCACGUGGAUUAUAGGGAGCAAGUGAGAGAGGCCGGUUUGAUGAAAAGAUGAUGAUGAUGAAAAUGUGUAAAGAAAGAUGAUUGCGCGAAAAGAUAGCGAGGAAAAAGUGAGCAUGAAAAAAGUCAGAAGAUGAAGAGAAAGGUAAAGAAAGAUAGAAAGAAGGUAACGAAUAAGAGUUUAACUCGUCAGUGUCUUGAUGAUGAUCAUGUUGAGGAUAGAAUUGAUUAAAAGAAGAAAAAAGUAAAAAAAGACUUUCUUUUUUCUUCUUCUUUUCAUGAGCACUCAAAUAUUCACAGAAUUGAAAUCUGAUUUCUUGAAAACAAGUUUGAAGGAUCAUGAUUGAUAACUGGCCUUUGUCUGUGGCAUUUUUUGUUCAAAUUAAAACACAGUUUAUAGUUGAAGUCACCUUAUUAGUAAGCAAGAGAUAAGAAAAUGAAAAACAAAAGAAAAGAAAAGAAAAGCAAAAUUACAAAAUGGCUUCACUUUUCUUAACCGCCAUUAGUCCAAGUAACAUUUGAGUAAACAAGAAACAUGUCAGACGUUUCAUCAACCAUUACAAAAACAGUGACAACUGAAAGUUAUGUUAGAUUGAUUGGACUUACAUGAUGUUGAUAUUUUUCGUGAUCAUUAUUAUGAAAAAUAAAGGAUAACUGGCCAGCGAAACCAUCGUUUAAUCACUAAAAAUUAUGGUAUUUUGUUUACAAUCAAAAUGUUUAUUCCCUUAGGCUGUGAUGGUUACUCUGUAAGAAAUAAAAAAUGGAUUGUAUUCCAUUUCGCAUCGCUCCUUUAGGCAAAUCUCGUGAAUUGCUUCAACAUUAUCCAUCAAUGUUACAAAGUGUACGCUUCACCAUCAAUUUACUCAUUAAGACCACUCAUCAUCAACAACCUGACCAUCAACAACACUAUCGUAACUUGUGACUCUCUGUUUAUUUGCGUGAAUAUCGUUUGGUUAUUAUCCCUUUUUUUACCAGAUUGACCCUUUGGAUUCACCAGGAUUCAAUCCAAUGUGGAUCCAUUUGUGGAUUAAUCCAAGAAAUGGAGGAAAGUAAAUUCACUUUCCUGUUUCAUCAUUUUUUUUUGGUUUAAUCGGGUCAUCAAUUUAUCAUCAUUCUUAUCAACUUUUGUGAAUCGUUUUUAGUUGUGACCUUAACACCUUGCAAUUCACCUUCUUCCUCAGUUUUGGAUUCAAUUUAUUGCCAUGUAAUCGAGCAACAACAAAUCAGUGAAAAGGUUCCACUUUUAAUCUUCAAUUUUUCUUUUCUCUCAUCUUGUGAAACAUUUACCGAUGCAUCUAAGGAGGUCAACGAAUCUCAGGGUCUGUCUUUUUAUUAUUGCACCUUGUUGGGACAACAAAUUUGAAAUAACAUCAUUUUUUGUGUCUAGAAAAAUCAAGUGUCGUUUUAAAUUUAAUCAAGUGACACAGUGAUUAACAAUCUUACUUUUUUUGCUCGUACGUGAUAAAGCAAGCAUACAAAUUGAGGGUAACCAUUAACAACUAUUUACUAUGAGAGUCAACCUCGAAUGGAUUGAGAUGAGAUUUGUUUCAUUUUUAAUCGUAACCAGCAACAACUUGUAUUAGGUAAAAGCCAACUUGUGAUAAAUCAAAAGGACAAAAUAAACAAUGAUGAUAUGUUGAUUGGAAUGAGAUUAUUUUAAUUGUUAAACUAACAAAUGUUAGGCUGACACAUCCAUGAUAGUCACAUAUAUAACAUAAGUAAAAUGUUUCCACCAAAUUGACUAAUAUGAUUACGUGCCUUCUCUCCCUCACUUGAUAUUAACCAAUUCUUAAUUGACUGACAAAUGAUCAACCUUAACAAUCAAUCCAAAUAUUCAUCUUAUACUUUUCUGCAAGCUUAAUGGAAAACUAAUGGUUAAUUUGGCACCGGUCAUGAUGAUGGUAAUGAUUAAUGGUUCAAUCAACACUAAUAUAAUGUGGAAAAGUGAAUUUCAAUGUUCAAUUAACAACAAAAAUACAACUGUUGCAAGUCUUAACAGUUAACCAGUUCAACUUGAAAAAUGUUGAAAAGCUUUUUUGAUUACUUUGGGCUCAGCUGAUGAAUUUGCUAAUUUAUAAUUUCUGUUAUUAACCAAUUAUACAUGGCAAUAAUGAUAAUAUACUCAAGAUGAUGAAGGGGAAAAAUGUUACAAUUUUUGCUAUAAUAAUGUUUAAUCAGGCUAAUUAUUAAUUAUGUUUGACAUUUAAAACAAUCGGAAAAGAUUUCCCCUUUGCAUUUUCCAGUUAAUUCCAAUUGUACCUGUGAAUUUACCAUGAUGAAAUGAUUGACGAAACAUGAUUCAAGACCCAAUCUGAUUAAUAUCAAGAGAUAUCAUCAUUUAUCGGGCUUUUCCUUCACUCCAAAUACAACUUGAAUUACCUCGAUGCUCAAUCACCAGCCUCACAUUGUCAGUGCAAAUUAUGGCCAACUAAACUCACACCUCUGGAAACAUUUAAUAAUCUAAUACAAGAAGGAAAAUAAUUAACUGAUUAAAUCAUUUCCUGAUGAUGAUAAUAAUUUGUUCACUUCGAAAAUUCCAUUAAAAAUGAUCUUGAUGAUGAUGGUGAUGGUUGAUUAUGAUUAUGAUGAGGACUGACUCCAUUAAAUUACAUUGGACUAGAAAAAGGAAAUAUGUAUCCAUGUGAUGUUAAUUCAAUUCACAUGAUGAUGUAUUAUUGCUUAUGAAAAGAUUCCUUCUCAUCUUAUCUUUCAUUUCUAUUUUUUAACAGGUUAAAUAAUGAAUAAGGUUUUAAUGAUAAUUGGUCAAACCAGAUGACAAUUAAAGUAUAUCAAGUGUAAACCGGAUUACCAAUCAACAAAGCCCCAUGUCUUUUUUUACAUCUUACAUGGUCUUUGGUCUUUCCCUGUCUUCUGGACCACUGGAAACUGGAAUAAUCUUGAUUAGCCGUUGAUUGUUUGCCUUAUUUCUGGUUAAUCAUUGAUGGUCAGAGGAGCAAUAACAAACAUCUGAUGAUCCCUUGAAAGUUGAUUGAAUCGGCUUGGUUAAUGUUCACUUGUUUUGAUUGCAGCUUGAAAUCAACUCUUGGAUCAACCCUUGGAUCAACCCUUGGAUAAAAUUUCAUUCAAUUCAUCCAAUAUUGGCCAGUUUUAAUCAUUUCUGUACGCAAUUCAAACCAUGUAUUACAGAUGUCAUUUUAUUGGUUAAACAAAUUGUAAUCCCAGCUAGCUAGGAAUCAAUUGUUUCCAAGUACAUCCAACGCUAACUGAAUUUUUCUGGUUCUUUUCAUGUAAACUUAAAACAAAAGCUAUUAGAUAAUCUUGAGUUAAUCAUUUAAUCAAUUAACCUACCACAGUGUUGAUUAUUGAAGAUUUGAUAGAAUCUAAAUUAAAAAGAUUAGUAAAGU